rnacentral:tRNA from 1 species
GCCGGCUCGGUCGCUGGCAGACCGUUUUAAUUCGUAAUCAGUAGGUCCCCGGUUCAAUCCCGGGUGUCGGCACCA